AGUCAGCCUUCCCACCUGAAGAUCAACAUGCCUGGCACUCUAGCACUUGAGGAUAGCUGAAUGAAUGUGUAUUUCUUUGUCUCUUUCUUUCUUGUCUUUGCUCUUUGUUCUCUAUCUAAAGUGUGUCUUACCCAUUUCCAUGUUUCUCUUGCUAAUUUCUUUCGUGUGUGCCUUUGCCUCAUUUUCUCUUUUUGUUCACAAGAGUGGUCUGUGUCUUGUCUUAGACAUAUCUCUCAUUUUUCAUUUUGUUGCUAUUUCUCUUUGCUCUCCUAGAUGUGGCUCUUCUUUCACGCUUUAUUUCAUGUCUCCUUUUUGGGUCACAUGCUGUGUGCUUUUUGUCC
rnacentral:lncRNA from 1 species